GGGGAAUCUUAGACAAUGGGGGCAACCCUGAUCUAGCCAUGCCGCGUGAGUGAUGAAGGCCUUAGGGUUGUAAAGCUCUUUCAGCUGGGAAGAUAAUGACGGUACCAGCAGAAGAAGCCCCGGCUAACUCCGUGCCAGCAGCCGCGGUAAUACGGAGGGGGCUAGCGUUGUUCGGAAUUACUGGGCGUAAAGCGCACGUAGGCGGACCAGAAAGUUGGAGGUGAAAUCCCAGGGCUCAACCUUGGAACUGCCUUCAAAACUAUUGGUCUGGAGUUCGAGAGAGGUGAGUGGAAUUCCGAGUGUAGAGGUGAAAUUCGUAGAUAUUCGGAGGAACACCAGUGGCGAAGGCGGCUCACUGGCUCGAUACUGGCGCUGAGGUGCGAAAGCGUGGGGAGCAAAC
rnacentral:rRNA from 1 species